CCUACGGGUGGCAGCAGUAGGGAAUCUUCCACAAUGGGCGAAAGCCUGAUGGAGCAACGCCGCGUGGGUGAAGAAGGUCUUCGGAUCGUAAAACCCUGUUGUUAGAGAAGAAAGUGCGUGAGAGUAACUGUUCACGUGUCGACGGUAUCUAACCAGAAAGCCACGGCUAACUACGUGCCAGCAGCCGCGGUAAUACGUAGGUGGCAAGCGUUAUCCGGAUUGAUUGGGCGUAAAGGGAACGCAGGCGGUCUUUUAAGUCUGAUGUGAAAGCCUUCGGCUUAACCGGAGUAGUGCAUUGGAAACUGGGAGACUUGAGUGCAGCAGAGGAGAGUGGAACUCCAUGUGUAGCGGUGAAAUGCGUAGAUAUAUGGAAGAACACCAGUGGCGAACGCGGCUCUCUGGUCUGUAACUGACGCUGAGGUUCGAAAGCGUGGGUAGCAAACAGGAUUAGAUACCCUAGUAGUC
rnacentral:rRNA from 1 species